rnacentral:rRNA from 1 species
CAUGUAGGCGGUCAUGCAAGCCUGGUGUGAAAAACCUCAGCUUAACUGAGGGGCGCGCUGGGAACUGCAUAACUUGAGUUCGUAAGGGGAAGCCGGAAUUCCAGGUGUAGGGGUGAAAUCUGUAGAGAUCUGGAAGAACACCAAUGGCGUAGGCAGGCUUCUAGUACUGAACUGACGCUGAGAUGCGAAAGUGCGGGGAGCAAACAGGAUUAGAUACCCUGGUAGUCCGCACUGUAAACGAUGUACACUAGGUGUUGGGGUUUCUGACCUCAGUGCCGGAGCUAACGCGUUAAGUGUACCGCCUGGGGAGUAUGCCCGCAAGGGUGA